rnacentral:rRNA from 1 species
GAUGAACGCUGGCGGCGUGCCUAAUACAUGCAAGUCGAGCGAACAGACGAGGAGCUUGCUCCUCUGACGUUAGCGGCGGACGGGCGAGUAACACGUGCAUAACCUACCUAUAAGACUGGGAUAAUUUCGGGAAACCGGAGCUAAUACCGGAUAAUAUAUUGAACCGCAUGGUUCAAUAGUGAAAGACGGUUUUGCUGUCACUUUUAGAUGGUUCCGCGCCGCAUUAGCUAGUUGGUAAGGUAACGGCUUACCAAGGAAACGAUGCGGAGCCGACCUGAGAGGGUGAUCGGCCACACUGGAACUGAGACACGGUCCAGACUCCUACGGGAGGCAGCAGUAGGGAAUCUUCCGCAAUGGGCGAAAGCCUGACGGAGCAACGCCGCGUGAGUGAUGAAGGUCUUCGGAUCGUAAAACUCUGUUAUUAGGGAAGAACAAAUGUGUAAGUAACUAUGCACGUCUUGACGGUACCUAAUCAGAAAGCCACGGCUAACUACGUG